GGACCCGCACAAGCGGUGGAGCAUGUGGUUUAAUUCGAUGCAACGCGAAAAACCUUACCUACUCUUGACAUACUUGGGAGCUCUUGUAAUGAGAGUGUGCCUUUUGGAACCAAGAUACAGGUGCUGCAUGGCUGUCGUCAGCUCGUGUCGUGAGAUGUUCCGUUAAGUCGGAUAACGAGCGCAACCCUGCCCUUAUUUUGCCAGCGUGUUAUGACGGGAACUAUAAGGGGACUGCCGGUGAUAAACCGGAGGAAGGUGAGGACGACGUCAAGUCAUCAUGGCCCUUACGAGUAGGGCUACACACGUGCUACAAUGGGGAAUACAGACGGACGCUAAGCCGCGAGGUGGUGCUAAUCUAGAAAGUUUCUCGUAG
rnacentral:rRNA from 1 species